UGUCUUCAGGGCGGGGCGCAAUUCCCCACUGGCGGUAAAGUCCGCGAACGGUUGCCGAAAGGCAUCCGCCGACCCGGUGAAACUCCGAGACCAACAGUAACAGUCUGGAUGGGAGAAGAU
rnacentral:ncRNA from 1 species